AACGAACGCUGGCGGCAGGCCUAACACAUGCAAGUCGAACGCCGUAGCAAUACGGAGUGGCAGACGGGUGAGUAACACGUGGGAACGUACCCUUCGGUUCGGAAUAACUCAGGGAAACUUGAGCUAAUACCGGAUACGUCCGAGAGGAGAAAGAUUUAUCGCCGAGGGAUCGGCCCGCGUCUGAUUAGCUUGUUGGUGAGGUAACGGCUCACCAAGGCGACGAUCAGUAGCUGGCUGAGAGGAUGAUCAGCCACAUUGGGACUGAGACACGGCCCAAACUCCUACGGGAGGCAGCAGUGGGGAAUAUUGGACAAUGGGCGCAAGCCUGAUCCAGCCAUGCCGCGUGAGUGAUGAA
rnacentral:rRNA from 1 species